rnacentral:misc_RNA from 1 species
AAAUAUUGUAAAGGUAAGAUCACACUACUUACUGUUUAUGUGGAUGAUAUAGUAGUGACAGUGGAUGAUAUAGUAGUGACGGAAGAUGAUGAGAAAGAAAUUACAAAUCUAAAGCAACAUCUAAUACAGAAGUUUGAGAUUAAGAACUUAAGAAAAUUGGUACUUCCUUGAAAUAAAGGUUGCCAUAUCAAAUAAAGGGAUCUUUAUUUCUCAGA